GGGGGCGGGGUUCCCAGUCCCCCGGUCAAAUUUUAGGACUUUUCAGCAGGAAAGCUGCACAACUGGAGGAGGGCAGGACGAGGCUGGCCUCGCAGGUCGGGCUACGUUCUUCUACGGUCUGAGGCGUUGUCUAGAAACUCAAAAUCUCUGGAAUCCCAUCCAGGACUCCUCCAUCAAGAUUUCUUCCGAUCCUGAGUAACCAAGAUUGGAAUACUGACCCCUUCAGGAGGCAGCCCAUGCCGUUUUUUCCCAACCGCUCUAAUCUGCCCCAAAUGCUUCCUUAUAUGAAUCCAAAUUUGUCUCUCCUUGACCUCUACCCUCUGCACUGUUUCAGCCUCCGCCUCUGGGGCCUUACUAAACAAGUCCAAUCACCCUUCCACGUGACCCCUUAUCUAACUGUAGGUGGGAUUAAUGUACUUAUCUGCCCAAACAGCUCCAGUCCUUUAAACUGCCUUUUAUUGAUUGGAGCCCACCCAGGAUACUACAUUACAUUCAGAUGUCAUGUCUCCUUAGGCUCCUGCAGACUGACAAUUUCUCAAACUUUGUUUUUGAUGACUUUGACAAUUUUGAGGUGGUAUGAUAAUUUGUGAAGUGUUUCUCAUGCUUAGCCUGGAGUUACAAGGUUGGAGAAAAAGACCAAAGAUGUGAAGUGCCAUUCUCAUCACAUCAUGUCAAGGGUACAUGCUGUUAACAUGAAUUAACAUCGAUGAUGUUAACCUUGAUGUCCUGGCUGAGAUGAACUCUCUUGGAUAGAAGGAUUCAAACAGAAAAAUGCAAAAAGAAGUCAGAUGGAAAACUCUGGAAAAUCCAAGAAGGGAGCUAGUUGAUGAUGAGCAAAGCCACAUGUGCUGUCUUGACAGCCAUAGAGAAGAAUGGAGGCCUCCAUACCUGAGUGGAAAGAGAAGAACAUGGGCAAUGAUUUUGUCUCUACAAAACAACAACAACAACAGACAAACAAAAUUAGCUGAGUGUGGUGGUGUGCACCUGCAACUUCACUACUUAGCAGGCUGGGGUGGGAGGAUGGCUUGAACCCAGGAGUUCAAGGCUAUAGUGAGCUGUGAUUGUGCCACUGCACUCCAGCCUGACAGAACAAGACCAUGUCUCAAAAGGAAAAAAAAAAAAGAAAAGGAAAGAAGAAAAGAAUUUAAAAAGAGAAGGGAGAAUGAGAAGAGUCACAACUUUGAUAAAGUGGGGAGCAUUGGGUUGGGUAUGGAAUGGUAGUAGUCUUGUCUAGUUCAGAAUCAGACAGACCUGAGUUUAGUCCUUCACAUCUACCCUUUUACCCUUCUUAUUUUAUUUCCCUUCCCUUCCCAUUUUGUUAUUCAUUUAAUAAAGUUUCUAAAUUCUA
rnacentral:lncRNA from 1 species